rnacentral:rRNA from 1 species
UACAGAGGUCCCAAGCGUUGUUCGGAUUCACUGGGCGUAAAGGGUGCGCAGGUGGGUUUGCAAGUUUGAUGUGAAAGCCCCGGGCUUAACCCGGGAAUGGCAUUGAAUAUUGCAGAUCUGGAGGAUUGGAGGGGGGACUGGAAUUCUUGGUGUAGCAGUGAAAUGCGUAGAUAUCAAGAGGAACACCAGUGGCGAAGGCGAGUCCCUGGACAAUGCCUGACACUGAGGCACGAAAGCUAGGGGAGCAAACAGG